CCUACGGGAGGCAGCAGUGAGGAAUAUUGGACAAUGGGCGCAAGCCUGAUCCAGCGACGCCGCGUGAGUGAUGAAGGCCUUUGGGUCGUAAAGCUCUGUCAGCAGGGAAGAACGGCCGUGCGGAUAAUACCCGUAGGGAUUGACGGUACCUGCAGAGGAAGCACCGCUUACUCCGUGG
rnacentral:rRNA from 1 species